AGUGAACGCUGGCGGUAGGCCUAACACAUGCAAGUCGAACGGCAGCACAGUAAGAGCUUGCUCUUACGGGUGGCGAGUGGCGGACGGGUGAGGAAUACAUCGGAAUCUACUUUUUCGUGGGGGAUAACGUAGGGAAACUUACGCUAAUACCGCAUACGACCUACGGGAGAAAGCAGGGGAUCUUCGGACCUUGCGCGAUUGAAUGAGCCGGUGUCGGAUUAGCUAGUUGGCGGGGUAAAUGCCCACCAAGGCGACGAUCCGUAGAUGGUCUGAGGGGAAGAUCAGCCACACUGGAACUGAGACACGGUCCAGACUCCUACGAUAAGGAGCAGUGGCGUAUAUUGGACAAUGGGCGCAAGUCUGAUCCAGCCAUACCGCGUGUGUGGAGAAGGCCUUCUGGUUGUAAAGCCCUUUUGUUGGGAAAGAAAAGCAGCAGAUUAAUACCCCGCUGUUCUGACGGUACCCAAAGAAUAAGCACCGGCUAACUUCGUG
rnacentral:rRNA from 1 species